CACUCCUACGGGAGGCAGCAGUGGGGAAUUUUGGACAAUGGGCGAAAGCCUGAUCCAGCAAUGCCGCGUGAGUGAAGAAGGCCUUCGGGUUGUAACGCUAUUUUGUCAGGGAAGAAACGGUGAAAGCUAAUAUCUUUUGCUAAUGACGGUACCUGAAGAAUAAGCACCGGCUAACUACGUGCCAGCAGCCGCGGUAAUACGUAGGGUGCAAGCGUUAAUCGGAAUUACUGGGCGUAAAGCGUGCGCAGGCGGUUUUGUAAGUCUGAUGUGAAAUCCCCGGGCGCAACCUGGGAAUUGCAUUGGAGACUGCAAGGCUAGAAUCUGGCAGAGGGGGGUAGAAUUCCACGUGUAGCAGUGAAAUGCGUAGAUAUGUGGAGGAACACCGAUGGCGAAGGCAGCCCCCUGGGUCAAGAUUGACGCUCAUGCACGAAAGCGUGGGGAGCAAACAGGAUUAGAAACCCGAGUAGUCCCAUGAU
rnacentral:rRNA from 1 species